GAUGUCCUUGGGCAUGGCUUGCUUCACAGUGAACAUUUCCAGCCAUCCCAAAGUAAUAAUGCACCAACUUUGCACGGCAGGGAAAAAGCAACCAACAAAAUAUCCUCUGAAUGGCAUUGACCAACACAGGCCCCAGAUGAUUAUACUAAGAACCAUGAAACCAUCUUUGCCUUUUGAGGAAGACAGUAAGAAUCCAGCCAGCCUGGCUUUAGAUGCAAAACAGGGAAGCAGCAAGUGAUAACCCGAGUUUCUAUCUGCUUUUAUUUAGUAAGGUCUGCCUUGUUCAUGCUAAUCACUGGCACAAUUCAUACCAUCUCCAGGAAGAAGGAUUAUAUCCACUUUUUCCUAAAAUGUCUACAGGCUUCUCUAUUGAUGUGACAAAUUUGUAAUUUUGCAGAUUCUGGGACUGCACCUUUACUAUGAAUUUUGUGCUCCUAAUUGCUUUCAGCUUAGUAGGAAUUCCAUUUAAUCUCAAAACACUCCACUGCAG
rnacentral:lncRNA from 1 species